rnacentral:lncRNA from 1 species
CUAAUGAAUCUAGACAUUAUAUAUAUAUAUAUAUAUAUAUAUAUAUAUAUAUAGUAUUUAUUAUCAACUAAUGGAUAUCCAACAAACAAGGAGGGGUGUACAUAUUUCUCCGAGUACAAAAUGGCGGUCUGUAUUGUAAAUACAUAAUCAAAGUUUAUAUCAUGUUUUGACACUGUAAUAGCCAUCAAUGCUUCUUCGAGCUCAAAACUCGCUCGCUAAUAGUCCUAAUAAACUUGUUAAUUUCUCUAAAGUGUAAAACUAUAUUGUGUCCAGGAAUUUCCAUAGAUGUACUUGUACCAAGAGAUAAUCUUUGGAUCAUUCCUAUUAUAUGUCCCGUCGAUGACAAUACAACAUCAGAUCUACCUACUGUAUGCAAGUUUACCACCUGAAAGUGUUCCGUAUCAUCAACGAUCCUUCUACAGUGACAUACCUCUCCAAUUGCAUAAGAGUAGCUGCCUGAAAGUUCAUGAAGAAUACUGUAUAUUUCUUGACCAUUAGUAAUCUGCGUAGAAUCAUCUGCUACGUUUGCAUAAUCAUAUCCUUCUUUCUUGUUAUCAGUUGGUGUAAGAAGCACGAAUAACUUGCUACACUUUAUCUUCAACCGCUGAAAAGUACCGUCGCUGACUUCUCGACCCAAAAUGAUACUGUUAGUAUUUGGAACACUACUUGAUGUGGUUAGAAUAUGGCCCACAUUAUUUAUAAAAACUCCCGCGGCAAAAUUUAAAUGUUUUCCACUUCCAAUCUUAAGUAGCCAAAUACAAGACUUUUCAGAGAAUCAUAAAAUUGUGCUUGUUCUUCUGUUGUUAGAUCACGCCCUUUUCCAAUAUGUGUAAAGGCUUUAAGUGGCAUUUUAAUAUCUCUGAAAAUAUACAUUUGAAACUCAGAAUUCAUUAAAAACAACAAUAUUUUUAGUAUAACAAAUGCAUCAAUCCCAUCUUAAAAUACGAGAGCAUUCAAGACACAAAAAUGCUACAACCUAGAAAUUUGUACAUUACAUGCGCUGCAAGCAAAGUGAUAUUUGUCUUAUUAUGAGUUUAAUUGUUUAAACAUGAGGUUAUUCCCAAACUACAUGAAAAUGCAAGAGCAACAAUAGCAAAUGAUAAUUUCCGGCACAAUGCAACAACUUACCUAUACCAAAUGGAACCUCUUGGACAUUAGAUGGAGAAUAGGUCUUGGUUACCGACAAUUAACACCAAGUAGAUAUAAAUUACCAAAAGAAUAACAGCUUUGGAGCAACACUUCAGAAGAAACACAACGUAAAGAAAUUGAUUCUUGUUUUUACCAGGAAGAUAGAUAUAUUGCUGCAACAUGUACCAAAUGCAACAGGUAGAAUCAAGAAAGGAUUGCAAUUGUUACUUCCAACUAAGACAACAGAACAAAGCACUGCAUGCAAUCUUAGUGUGCAACUGAAAAUACUACUAUCUACUAGAAUUAAAUACGGACCAAAAGCUCAUGCAACACCAUUAACCCAAGGUUCAAAACUGUCAAGAAGUGCGUCUUGACUCGUGAAGCAUGAAAAGCUGUGUCUCACUAAUAAUCGCGCCACCACCUAGCCACAAGAACAAAGAAUCCCAAGUAUUUACUUCCUGCAGAUGUGACACGACAAUCUACAGUUCAAUAAAAAUUGGACACAAUGAACUUGCUGUUUUAGGAGUACAACGUUGGGAAAAAUAUCUAACAAGGGACAUCAACACUGACCAAACAACAAUUCACCACACAGGAAUAACCAACAUCAGCAAGGCUUCAUCACCAUGAAGUGGUAUGAGUGACAGCACCUCCACAGGUCAGUGCCCACCUAAACGAAUCCCACCUAUAUGAAUCCAACAGUAGGAACAUCAGAAAUGCCACGCCACUAGAGCAGUAGUUCUUGUCCAUAUCAUCCUAGGAACUUGCACCAAUGUGUGGCAACAAGCUUGAGGAGCUAGCAGAGCCAUAUUGUUAGGGACCAUGGUCACUUGCGAUGACAAUCAUACGCCACACUCUGAUGCCACUGGAUUGGAAAGGGACAAGUGUUCUGCCAGAGCUUCGUUGCUGGAUGCUUGCGCUUAUGUGAAAAUGCAAAUUGGGUAGAUGUGGCCGAGAGGAAUAGGAAGGAUCAAAAGAUAGGAGGAGCACAAGCAUCCAACCUUGGUGGACGGCACCAUUUACUUUCAGGAGAUGAGGUCAAAUGGGCCGGACCAAUGACUCCCAUGAUUUGUGCAAGGCUGCAACACAAUCCACAACAAAUGUUUGGCACCAUCAAAAUGACGUGUGUCCCUACCUCAUAUGUUCCAAUACACUUGUGGGAUACGAAGAAGCCAAUAAUCGAAUAUUUCAGUUAAUAGUUUAGUUAUAUUAUUUGAACAGUAUAUAACCUAGGGAUGCACUGUUUGUCCAUCCACAUCAGUAAGCAUGAAACAUAGCGUGCAAUAGACAGAAGAAGCCACAGAAGGUCUAUAGAUACCAAUGUGCACUGCACAAUUGCCUGGCUUGAUUCACCUGACAUUUGUGCAUGGUUCACAGGGCUGCACGCACGAGUAAAAUCAGGACUGGAUACGCGAACAUGGACUGAUGUAGUUAGCACUCACAUGCCAAAUUGUUCACUAAUGCUGGAACAUAUACCAACAAGCGCAAUACAGCGAUUUUGCAUGUGAGGCUGUGUAUGGUAACCAGUGUACCACCAAAAUAGUAAGCACGUAAUCCUGUAUGUAAACUCUCCAGACUGUCAUAUCCUACUUGUUUAUAAUCUACAAGCCAUCAUGAACAAAUGCUUCCAAUUUAUGAAAAUUAACAAUCUAAAAAUCACAACACUGCAAUUAUUGUCUAUCGAUUCAAUACUAAACGGGUAUGCACUAAUCAAAUGACAACCAUCCUACUAUCCAAAUGACAACCAUCCUAAACAAGAGAGGGAGAUUGCACAAAAAUCACAGACCAGGCAUACAGCAAACAAAUCAAUAGGAAAGGACGAGGACUCACCAAUUCCUCAGGCCUAUAGAAUCAAAUCGAGGACUCCCUGUCCCUGGAGGACCGGCUUGCGCGGGCGCCCGUCAUCUCGGUGGCCAUGCCGCAUGGAGCUGAGACGAGGAGGCUGCCUACCGCCGCAGACCGGACCGGCCUCACGAAGUGGCUCCGCCAAGAACCGUCCGAAUCGCCUCCCGUCGACCUCCUCCUCUCCCUCGCCUGCCGAUGCCGCCGCCGUGGUGCCGCGGGUAGGGUUCCGCUAGAACUAGUGCCGAGGGCGACGCGGCGAUCUCGAUGCGGCCGGCCCACUGGCCCAGAUUAUUUUGGGGGAAAUCCAACGAUCCGUCGUAGCCGGCCUCUCUCGCACCGAGCAAAG